AGUGAACGCUGGCGGUAGGCCUAACACAUGCAAGUCGAACGGCAGCACAGUAAGAGCUUGCUCUUACGGGUGGCGAGUGGCGGACGGGUGAGGAAUACAUCGGAAUCUACUUUUUCGUGGGGGAUAACGUAGGGAAACUUACUCUAAUACCGCAUACGACCUACGGGUGAAAGCAGGGGAUCUUUGGACCUUGCGCGAUUGAAUGAGCCGAUGUCGGAUUAGCUAGUUGGCGGGGUAAAGGCCCACCAAGGCGACGAUCCGUAGCUGGUCUGAGAGGAUGAUCAGCCACACUGGAACUGAGACACGGUCCAGACUCCUACGGGAGGCAGCAGUGGGGAAUAUUGGACAAUGGGCGCAAGCAUGAUCCAGCCAUACCGCGUGGGUGAAGAAGGCCUUCGGGUUGUAAAGCCCUUUUGUUGGGAAAGAAAAGCAGCAGGUUAAUACCCCGCUGUUCUGACGGUAACCAAAGAAUAAGCACCGGCUAACUUCGUG
rnacentral:rRNA from 1 species